rnacentral:rRNA from 1 species
UAAUACUUGCUUUAUUAUCCUUUGAUUUUUAUCUUUGGAUAAGUAUUUGUUAGGCCUUAUAAGAAAAAAGUUAUUAACUUAAGGAAUUAUAACAAAGAAGUAACACGUAAUAAAUUUAUUUUAUUUAGUGUGUAUCAAUCGAGUUUCUGACCUAUCAGCUUUUGAUGUUAGGGUAUUGGCCUAACAUGGCUAUGACGGGUAACGGGGAAUUAGAGUUCGAUUCCGGAGAGGGAGCCUGAGAAAUAGCUACCACAUCUAAGGAAGGCAGCAGGCGCGUAAAUUACCCAAUUCUAAAGAAGAGAGGUAGUGACAAGAAAUAACAAUGCAAGGCCAAUUUUUGGUUUUGUAAUUGGAAUGGUGGGAAUUUAAAACCUUCCCAGAGUAACAAUUGGAGGGCAAGUCUGGUGCCAGCAGCCGCGGUAAUUCCAGCUCCAAUAGCGUAUAUUAAAAUUGUUGCAGUUAAAACGCUCGUAGUUGAAUUUCAAAGAAUCGAUAUUUUAUUGUAACU